GAUGAAUGCUGGCGGCGUGCCUAACACAUGCAAGUCGAGCGGCAGCGCGGGGUGCUUGCACCCUGUCGGCGAGCGGCGAACGGCUGAGUAACGCGUAGGAAUUUGCCCCAAAGUGAGGAAUAACUGCCCGAAAGGGUAGCUAAUGCCGCAUAUGGUCUUCGGAUUAAAGGAUUUAUCCGCUUUGGGAGAAGCCUGCGGUGGAUUAGGUUGUUGGUAGGGUAAUGGCCUACCAAGCCGACGAUCCAUAGCUGGUCUGAGAGGAUGAUCAGCCAGACUGGAACUGAGACACGGUCCAGACUCCUACGGGAGGCAGCAGUGAGGAAUCUUCCACAAUGGGCGAAAGCCUGAUGGAGCAACGCCGCGUGAAGGAUGAAGGCCUUCGGGUUGUAAACUUCUUUUAUGAGUGAAGAAUAUGACGGUAACUCAUGAAUAAGCACCGGCUAACUACGUG
rnacentral:rRNA from 1 species